rnacentral:lncRNA from 1 species
AUAUGAAAGGGAUACAUGCCCAUAGUUUGGGAGGCGGGGGGAGUUAAAUCAGCAAAAGAGUGUAAUAGGAAUUUUUUUUAAUUUUUAAAAAUUUUUGGCUACCCAUGACAUAUGGAGUUCCUGGGCUAGGGAUCAGAUCUGAGACACAGUCGUGACCUCCACCGAAGCUGCAGCAACACCAAAUCCUUUAACCCACUGUGCUGGGCCAGGGAUCCUGCAUCCUGGCGCAGCAGAGAUGCUGCCAAUCCCACCGCACCACAGUGAGAACUCCUAAGAGGAAUUAUAUUCAAAAUAUUUUACGACUGUGCAAAAGGGCACAGACCCAUCAGAACAGAUUCCAGCCACUGUACUGAGUAGGACCCACUGAACAGCAGUCUGGAUACAGGACAAAAGAGUUUGAAUGUCCAACGCCGUGGACUCCCACCUGCACUCCGCAGAUAUCGGCUGUCAAUUUCUUAGGACUUGCUCCAGAAAUGUUUUAUGCCUCUACCAGCAUAAAAAAAACCUCAAUCAGCAAAAGGUAUAGCAGGAAUUUUUACUGGCACAUCUCUGUGCCUGGGCAUCCUUUUUUGGAGAGAGCUCUGUUUCUGAAGACACUAUUCUGGUCUGAGGCACACUUUUUUCUUUUAACAAUGUAUCUAAGACAUCAUUCUACAUCUGUACACACAGCUACCUCUUUUUUCUUAAGCUUUAGCGAUGCUACUCAAAGUGUGUUCCUGGUCUGAGAAAACAUGACGGAGAGCUUGCAGCAGAAUGCAAAUCAACUAUGUCUCUAAAUACACACUUUCCUUCGGGUGAUAUAUUUGUAUAUUUCUGUCAGUGGGAUUUUCUCCUAAGUCAAUGAUUUGCAUUCUGACUCCAGUUCCUCAUCUCCCAACAGACCAGUAACACACAGGAGAAGGUCUACUUUAAGCGCUACCAUAGAGCAGCUGUAGUGUAAGAACACCAUGAGUUUUCUGACCAGUCCCCCUGUGACUGGCACUUGGGAUCAUAUAAGCAAUCGUACGUCUUACGUAUCUGAGAGAGUGUUUCUACAGCAGAGAUUCCUAGGAGUGGAAUCAAGGGCUGUGCAAUCAAUGAGAUAGCUGACUGGGAUGGUGCUAGUGGUUAGAAGUGAACCCCAGAGAAAACUAGUCCCUCUCUUGCUUUUCAAGGAGGAGAAAAACAAAACCAGAAAGGAAAAGCACGCUCCCAAGCGGCAGAAGUAGGAAACGCCCCGACUCCUCUGAAAGGCAGUGGCUAUCACCAGACACGAGGCCUUAGAAGCUGAGCUAAGGGGAUGGGUGGUGAACACACCCUGCAGAGUGAUGCUCUGAUUUCAGUAUAAUGUGUGACAAUUAAGGGUGUCACAGGGUCACGCUGUGGUCUGAUCCGCAGGAAAUCCAGGUCUCGUUUUCGUGGGUGUUGCUAGGCCUCUUAGGAGACUGGUGAGGGCGACUUUGAAGCACACGCCUUGGCCUGUGCGAAGCCAUCUGUGGAGGGAGGAAGGGAGAGGUUGCACUGGACCAGGACAUCCUGCGAGGGCGGAUAAUUUUCCUGGCGUUCAGUGACAGUGGAUCCUGGUCAGAGGAAGAAAAGGAACACCGAAACGGAAUUAGAGGCAAACGAAGGGUUAAUGGGGGCAGAGAACAGCUGUGUGAGACCCUGUGAGACCCGCGGAGGAAAUGACCACAGGUUCAGAAAGCGGAAAAGAGCCGAGGUGUCUUGGAAGCCGAAAGAGCAGAGUUCCCAGAGGGAAUACGGAGACGGCUGGGCCAAAUGCCGGAGGGCGUCAAGUGAGAUGAAGACUUUAAAAUCACUGUUGGGUUUGCCCACUGGCGACCUUGCUCAGAGUCACUUCAGUAAAUCAGGGACAGCAGGUUCUAGACUGCAGUGGCUUAGGGAGGGAUGGGAAGAGAGACGAUGGGGCCCUUGCGUGUGGAUGUUUGGGGGACAGGCUGACUGAUGCGGAGGGAGGGAGAGGGAUGGGGAGGCAGCAGCUGGGGGAACCUGGGAGCCUGUCCUAGAAGACCUUGACUCCACUUCUGCAUCUGCACAGGCAGUUUACUCACUGCCAAGAAGAGUAGUAGCUGCAGAGAAAGUGGGGUCCCCUGGGGAUUCGUAUAAAUUAUGCACCAUAACAGAACUCUGGGCCCCAGUCUGUAAGACAGUAUGCAUGGGGUGUGAUAAUAACAAUAGUCACCACUUAUUGAGAGCUUAUUUAUGCAAAGCUAAGAGCUUUACAUAAAUUACCUCCUCUAAUCCUCACAACGCUGUGAGGUAGGCCUUAUUAUUCUCUUCCACUUGAAAGUGAGGAACCCUGAGACUGAGAGCUUAAUUCGCCAGCUCAGGUCAUCUAGCCAAUCAACCACCAUGUGGGGAUUCAAACUCAGGUUCAUCCUCUGCUCCUAACCAUUAAGCCAGGGUCCCUCACACUGGACCCUAGAGAACCACAGGUAUGCGGGUCACCUGGGGAGCAUGUGAAACGUACAAAAAAUCCCCAGGUUCCACUGAAGAUCUACUGACUCCAAACCUAUGAAAGCGGAGCCCAGGGUCUAUGCUUCUGUCAAACUCCCCCACCGUUCUUCUGCUCACAGAAGUCUUAUCUGAAGAACUUUACCUCUUUGCUGUUUGAUUUGCCCAUCACUUGCCAUCACCCGCGUUAGGAUUUACACUCUCCACUCAGGGUAAAGGUCGCCUGGGCUGCUUAUCUGAGAUAAAAUAACUUCCCAGGCCCCAACAGAAGAUUGAGAAAUACUGUUCUGUGAAAUAAUGCCAUCUGCAGCAACACCAAUGCAACGAGAGAUUCCCAUACUAAGUGAAGUAAGUCAGAAAGAGAAACACAAAUACCGUAUGACAACACUUAGAUCUGGAAUCUAAUAUACGGCACAAAUGAACCCAUCUACAAAACAGAAACAGACUCACAGACCUAGAGGACAAACUUGCGCUUCCAGGGGGUGGGCGGGAGGAGUGGGAUGGACUGGAAGUUUGGGGUUAGUAGAGGUGAACUAUUACAUUUCGAAUGGAUAAGCAAUGAGGUCCUGCUGUACAGCACAGGGAACUACAGCCAGUCUCUUGGGAUAGAUGAUGAUGGAAAAUAAUAUAAGAAAGGGAAUGUAUAUAUAUGUAUAAUUGGGUCACUUUGCUGUACAGCAGAAAUUGGCACAUUGUAAAUCAACUGCACUUUAAUUAAAAAAAAAAAAAGAAAUACUAUUCUGUUUUUGCAGCUGAAAGUAUCGUAAGCACUACCCUAGGCUCUAAUUUAGGUUCUAUUUUUUAUUUAUUUAUUUUUGUCUUUUUAGAGCCACACCCCACAUGGAGGUUCCCAGGCUAGGGGUUCAAUCGGAGCUGAAGCCACCAGUCUACACCACAGCCACAGCAACGCGGGAUCCGAGCUGCAUCUGCAACCUACACUACAAUUCACAGCAAUGUCGGAUCCUUAACCCACUGAGCAAGUCCAGGGAUCGAACCUGCAUCCUCAUGGAUGCUAGUCGGGUUCACUAACUGCUGAGCCAUGAUGGGAACUCCUUUUUUUAUUUUAUUUAUUUAAUUAUUUUUGUCUUUUUGUAAUUUAGGUUCUAAUAAUCAUUCUAAGAUUCAUUUUCCUCAUCUGUAAAAUGGGCAUAAAUAUGCUUGCCUUGUAGAGCUAUGGUGAAGAUGAGAUACUGUACCAAUUAGAAUUAGAUUUACCUGCUUAUAAUGCAAACAAAGUAAUAAGGGCUUAAACAAAAGAGUUUAUUCUUCUCUCAGGUUAAAGCUGGAGCUAGGCAAUCCAGAACUGUCAUGAGGUUUCUAAUCUGCCGUUUCAUUAUUAACAUAUUGCCUCUUGGCACAAAACGGCUGCUGAGGCUGCAGCCAUUUUGCCUGCAGUCCUGGUAGAGAGAAGGGAAGAAAGGAUGCACUUCCCAGUCAAGUCAGAUGCCCGUAAGGAGCAUUUCUGUCAGGGCUUUCUAACACUCCUGUUUAUGUUGCAUAACCAGGAGUCAUGCAAUAUAGUCAUCAAGCCACACCUAGAUGCAAGGAAGGCUGGGAACUAAAAUCUUUUCAUUCAUAAUCAGGUCUUUGCGCCCCCCCCAAAUAAAUCAGGUUUCUGAUGCAUAAAAAGAAAGAAGAAUUAAGUAUUUGUGUGGCAGCCACAAAAACAUUCUUCCGCACACUUCCUACUGCAGGGAGUUGAGGACACCAGCUGCUGUGCUUUGAAAUC